UUAUGGUGCAGUAUAGUUAAGAUCUAGGCCUAUAAAUAGCCAUAUAAUUAACUUAUUUUCUCACUCAUUCAAAGAAGCCAAACUAAUCUCUCAAAGAUUCUCCGAGCUCGUCAUUACCAAUAUUCAUGCCAUAGUCUCUUUCUCCCAUUUUGUUAUUCUCAUUUGUUUCAUCUAUAGCCAAAACCUUACCCCACAAACAUCAUAUCAUCAUAUACUACCUCAAGCUAUACCAUACAUAACCAUAAUUAUUUCCUUCAUCAGAUUAGCAUCACAUCACUAUCAUUUUAUGUUCAAGUUUUAUUGCUCAACUAGAUCUUAUUGGAAGCUAAGGUUUUUCAUAAUACAAUUAUUUCUCAAGGGUCACUUUCAUUGCAAUCAAGGCUAGAACUCCACAUUCGAGGUAAGGAAAUUAAGUAGAAAAACAUAAGUUUUCUGUAUGUAAUAACAUUCAUAGGAAGAGUGAGAAUAGUGAAAGAGAAGUUAACUAAGGUCUUCUGCCUGACUCUUUAUUUUUUGUUAUUUAAUGUACUGUAUAAUAUAUGUUUGAAUAAUAUGUUUAUAAGAUUCAUGUUAUUUAUGUAUGUUUACAGUAUUAGAGCAUGGCCAUUGCUAAGGUAUAUAUUUAAAUAAUAUGUUUAUAAGAUUCAUGUUAUUUAAGUAUGUAUGUAAAUAGUGUGUUUAUAAGAUUCACAUUAUUUAAUUAUGAUUGUUAUGUUAUUUAAAUAAUGUAUAGUAGUUUGCCAUUAUUUAAAUUAGAUAGAUUAUAGUUUAUGUGACAUGGUUUGACCGAGAAGAUAAUGGUUAAAUACUUGACUGUUGGGUCUAUAUGGUAGAUAGGGGGCCAUUAGUAGUGGGUACAAUUUUACUGAACCCAGCCCUCCGCUAUUUAGUCCAAUAGCUCGAGUUUAUUUGCCAAAAUUAGACUCGGGCGUAAUCAUUACUAUGUGAUUUAGCUUAGAACCUAGUUAUUAGUGACUAGUGAUAUGAUUAAGUUUAUGUUUUGCUAUCUGCCUAAAUAUGUGCAUGUGCAUUUUAAUUAAGUUUUAUUUUUAUUUAUGGGACUACCUGACACACAUUUCCUUACUGAGUUUAGUAGCUCACCCUUAUCAAAUUACCAUGUGCAGACCAAGGUAACUGAAAGUUUAGAAAGCCGGUGGCGAGUGGAACUUUGGAUGCUUGUGUGUGUGAACUCGCUGAGGGCCAUAUAACUGCGGGCGGUCUAGGGCGCUCUGUUUAUUUAUUUACGUUAUUAAACUUAUGUCGCAAUUAUUUUAGUUAUUAAUUAUUAUGUUUUUGUUUUUACGAAAAUUGGCCAGUUGUGAACAUUUUUAAGUAUUAAAUAAAAAUGAAACAUUAU